rnacentral:lncRNA from 1 species
GUUUGUAUAUGUGGUAUUUCGUCUGAUCGUCAACCUUUAAUUUAUCUGUUUACGUUUGGCCUAAAAUAUCCGAUUAAUUAAAUUAAUUAUGUAUACUUUACCAAAAUUUUAAUUCCUUCAGUUUUAAGGGUGGGUAGUUCGGGCUGGUGGCAGGUUGGGCAGUUGUGAGUGUCUGUGUGAUGGCGAGGAAAGCGGAAGUUACGAAUGGAAUGCAGGUAGCUUAGGACCGAGGCAGACAGCUUAGGACUGAGGCAGACAGCUUAGGACUGAGGCAGGUAGGCAGUUGGUAGGAAUCAGUGGGGGCACUUGUCAUUUCGGCCAUGGGAUUCAAAAUUUGCAUGUCGAGUAUUUGUUACUAAUGCUUGUUGAUUUACAUUUGCUAGGUAUGCGCGUGGCUGCUCUCAAGAGAAGAUCGACUUAGCAAUUUGCAUUAUUUUGCAUUUGCAAGGUUGGUCUUCUCUUCGCCUCGCUACCCCGGCUGGCUCUCCGAGUGCUACCUCUACUUUAAGUAGAAGUACUUUUACUAUAUAGUAGAAGUACUUCUGCUUGAAGUAGAGGUGGCACUUGGGGAGCCGGCCGGGGUAGGGGAAUUUUUUUUAUUUUUUUUUCAAUUCCCAUGGGAAUUGAAUUUUUAAUUAAAAAGGAGUCUCUUGUAUAAUUAAUGAACAAUUUAUUGAAAAGAAUUGUAAUUACAAAUUGAAUAACAAUAAAGAGAGAACAACCACUGCACACUUAUUUAAAUAACAAUAGAAGAAAACAGAACAUGGCACAAAGAGAACAAUUAACAUUGUGUUCAACACAAGUGAAUAAGCACAAGUGAAAACACAACAUUAAAAGACUUGUUUGCCCGCGAAUUAACAAAAAAGUUAAUUCUUGAGGAAACAAGAGAACCUGGUCUUUUAAAGAUAAAUGUUUAUACUUCAAAAUAAAUAUUG